AUUGAACGCUGGCGGCAGGCCUAACACAUGCAAGUCGAACGAGUGGCGGACGGGUGAGUAAUGUCUGGGAAACUGCCUGAUGGAGGGGGAUAACUACGGGAAACUGUAGCUAAUACCGCGUACCAUAGGAUGAGCCCAAGUGGGAUUAGGUAGUUGGUGAGGUAAAGGCUCACCAAGCCGACGAUCUCUAGCUGGUCUGAGAGGAUGGCCAGCCACACUGGAACUGAGACACGGGCCAGACUCCUACGGGAGGCAGCAGUGGGGAAUAUUGCACAAUGGGCGCAAGCCUGAUGCAGCCAUGCCGCGUGUAUGAAGAAGGCCUUCGGGUUGUAAAGUACUUUCAGCGGGGAGGCGUUACCCGCAGAAGAAGCACCGGCUAACUACGUGCCAGCAGCCGCGGUAAUAC
rnacentral:rRNA from 1 species